rnacentral:lncRNA from 1 species
AUAAGUUAAACACAUAGCUCACAAAUACCAAGAACAUAGUUAAUUAGCAUUAGCUUUAGGUAACAUGGAACACCCUUAACACCUUAAGCAAGAAUUAAAGUAAAGGCGAAGAACUUAUAUAAGUAGUUGUUAUAUUAACAUGAGAGCACACAUAUGAGUUAUAUUCAAAGCUUAACCACUACUUAUCAUAACUUAACAUCAUAUGUACCCCUCAAAAAUAAAUAUUAAAAGCCUCACAUGACCCAAAUACAUGCAUCUACUAGCAAACUUUCAUUGUUCAUUGUCCAAUUAUAUAGUAAACAUAUAUAUUAAUUAUAGGUGAUGUGGCAUACAUCUCAUUUGGAGCUGAUAUUUGUAUGGAUGAUAAAUGUUAUCAAAACAUGGCUACUGUACAAAUUUCACAUGCUUAGGUUUUAUAAUUUAAUUGCUACGAAAAAGACAAAUUGCUCUUGCAAGAAAGCAUGUAAAAGCAAGAUAAAUCUAAAGAUCAUUGUUUUCUAUAAACACAUAGCCAUAUAAUAUGUUAUUAUGGUAGAACAACAUCAUACAAAUGUAGUGGAACCACAUUUCCCAUUUUUACACCUACAUAAAAGUUAUAACUUAUUUAAAACCAUUUACGAAGCAAUAAACAAGUUAAAUCAAUAAGUCAAUCAUACUGCAUUCAAUGAAUAUGAAAGUUUUACCACAUCACAAGAGCAUCAUUUAUAGCCUACCAUAAAAAUUGCACAGAAAGUGGAGCACCGCAACUUUAAAUAUGAAAAUGACAAGCAAAACAAGCUAAAAAUUUGCCUAUUUCUCAAGAUUAAAUCAAAACAUGAUAAAAACAGUACCCAACUAGCAUGUUCAAUAUUUUUAUUAGCUAGAGAGUGUCAUCACAAGACUAACACAACUAGAAUCACAACUUUUGGACUUCUAUAACUCAACAUAUGCAUCUAACCAACUUAAAAGGAUUUCUAAAAACACUUUGCAAGGAUAAAUAAAAAUAUCAGAAACUUUCUACUAACACAUAUCAUAUUAUAACUCUAAUGUGUAAAUAUACUCACAAAGAUUCCAAAACAUCCUCAUUUGCUAUUUUAUGAUGUUUAUGCAAUUUAGUAUGAAUUUUUAAAGUUUCAGCCUUUUUAGAUCUAAAAAAUAAACAAAAUCGAGAUGAUCUUACGAUCUACCCCCUGGGUCUACGGUUUAAUUGUGCAAAACUCCUUGGAACUUCCCCAUAACCCCCUACACUUCCUUCUUCUUCUCCAAAGAGGCCCCCCACGCACAAACAACACACAACACAGGCACGCACGCAUUGGACAGGCACGACCGGCCAUGGACUUGGGGCCGAAGGUGGGGGAAAAAGAAGGGGCAGCUUGGGGAGGGAGAGGGGCAGCACACGGAGCCCAGGAGGCUCACCAGAAGGGAGUCAGGCGCUUGGAGGAGGGCGGCGCACAGGGAGGAACGACACAGGAAGGGGGCGGCGGAGGAGCUCCCGUGGAGGGCAACGUCCGGUGAGGGAGGGAGCUCGGGAAGUAGCAAAA